rfam:Oreochromis niloticus linkage group LG6, whole genome shotgun sequence.
GUAAAGGCUUUUUUUAAAGCCAUGUGACAUUUUAAAACCCGAACUG